rnacentral:rRNA from 1 species
UACGGAGGGGGCUAGCGUUGUUCGGAUUUACUGGGCGUAAAGGGCGCGUAGGCGGCCACCGCAAGUCAGUUGUGAAAGCUCUGGGCUUAACCCAGAAAGGUCAACUGAUACUGCGGGGCUAGAGUGCAGAAGGGGCAACUGGAAUUCUCGGUGUAGCGGUGAAAUGCGUAGAUAUCGUAAGGAAGACCAGUGGCGAAGGCGAGUCUCUGGACAGUUACUGACGCUGAGGCACGAAGGCCAGGGGAGCAAACGGG